GGUGAACGCUGGCGGCGUGCUUGACACAUGCAAGUCGAACGGUAUGUGGCAACACAUAGAGUGGCGAACGGGUGAGUAACACGUGGGAACGUAUCUUUUGCAGGGGGAUAACUGACCGAAAGGACAGCUAAUACCGCAUAAGUCCGAGAGGAGAAAGGUGCAACAGCAUCGGCAGAAGAGCGGCCCGCGGUCCAUCAGCUAGUUGGUGAGGUAAGGGCUUACCAAGGCGACGACGGAUAGCCGGCGUGAGAGCGUGGCCGGCCACAAGGACACUGAGAUACGGGUCCUACUCCUACGGGAGGCAGCAGUGCGGAAUUUUAGAUAAUGGAGGGAACUCUGAUCUAGCGACGCCGCGUGCAGGAAGAAGGUCUUCGGAUUGUAAACUGCUGUGGUAAGGGAAAAAUGCUAUGUAGAGUGGAAAGCUACAUAGAGGGAUGGUACCUUACUAGAAAGCCCCGGCUAACUACGUGCCAGCAGCCGCGGUAAUACGUAGGGGGCGAGCGUUACCCGGAAUCACUGGGCGUAAAGGGAGCGUAGGUGGCCUAACAUGUCAACUAUGAAAACCCGGAGCUCAACUCCGGACUUGCAGUUGAAACUGGUAGGCUUGAGGACGGUAGAGGAAGACGGAACUGCCAGUGUAGGGGUAAAAUCCUUAGAUAUUGGCAGGAACGCCGGUGACGAAGGUGGUUUUCUGGGCCGGUUCUGACACUGAUGCUCGAAAGCCAGGGGAGCGAACGGGAUUAGAUACCCCGGUAGUCCUGGCCCUAAACGAUGUUCACUAGGUGUGGGGAGCGGAAAGCUCUCCGUGCUAAAGCUAACGCGAUAAGUGAACCGCCUGGGGAGUACGCCCGCAAGGGUGAAACUCAA
rnacentral:rRNA from 1 species